AUUGAACGCUGGCGGCAGGCCUAACACAUGCGAGUCGAGCGGAUGAAGGGAGCUUGCUCUUGGAUUCAGCGGCGGGCGGGUGAGUAAUGCCUAGGAAUCUGCCUGGUAGUGGGGGGUAACGUCCGGAAACGGGCGCUAAUACCGCAUACGUCCUGAGGGAGAAAGUGGGGGAUCUUCGGACCUCACGCUAUCAGAUGAGCCUAGGUCGGAUUAGCUAGUUGGUGGGGUAAAGGCCUACCAAGGCGACGAUCCGUAACUGGUCUGAGAGGAUGAUCAGUCACACUGGAACUGAGACACGGUCCAGACUCCUACGGGAGGCAGCAGUGGGGAAUAUUGGACAAUGGGCGAAAGCCUGAUCCAGCCAUGCCGCGUGUGUGAAGAAGGUCUUCGGAUUGUAAAGCACUUUAAGUUGGGAGGAAGGGCAGUAAGUUAAUACCUUGCUGUUUUGACGUUACCAACAGAAUAAGCACCGGCUAACUUCGUG
rnacentral:rRNA from 1 species